rnacentral:misc_RNA from 1 species
GAUGAAGAACGUAGCGAAAUGUGAUAAGUAGUGUGAAUUGCAGAAUUCAGUGAAUCAUCGAAUCUUUGAACGCACAUUGCGCCCCUUGGUAUUCCAUGGGGCAUGCCUGUUCGAGCGUCAUUUGUACCUUCAAGCUUUGCUUGGUGUUGGGUGUUUGUCCUGAGGGACUCGCCUUAAAGUAAUUGGCAGCCAGUGUUUGGUUUUGAAGCGCAGCACAAGUCGCGAUUCAAAGCUAUACGCCCGCUUCCACAAGCCUUUUUCACUUUUGACCUCGGAUCAGGUAGGGAUACCCGCUGAACUUAAGCAUAUCAAUAAGCGGAGGA